rnacentral:misc_RNA from 1 species
AACGCACAUUGCGCCCGCCAGUAUUCUGGCGGGCAUGCCUGUUCGAGCGUCAUUUCAACCAUCAAGCCCCUGCGCUUGUGUUGGAGCCCUGCGGCUGCCGCAGGCUCCCAAACCCAGUGGCGGGCUCGUCGUCGUACCGAGUGCAGUAAACUUACCACGCUCAGGGCACGCGACGGGUGACCGGCCGUAAAACGCCCCCCUUCUCAAGGUUGACCUCGGAUCAGGUAGGAAUACCCGCUGAACUUAA